UAGGGAAUCUUCCGCAAUGGGCGAAAGCCUGACGGAGCAACGCCGCGUGAGUGAUGAAGGUCUUCGGAUCGUAAAACUCUGUUAUUAGGGAAGAACAAAUGUGUAAGUAACUAUGCACGUCUUGACGGUACCUAAUCAGAAAGCCACGGCUAACUACGUGCCAGCAGCCGCGGUAAUACGUAGGUGGCAAGCGUUAUCCGGAAUUAUUGGGCGUAAAGCGCGCGUAGGCGGUUUUUUAAGUCUGAUGUGAAAGCCCACGGCUCAACCGGGGAGGGUCAUUGGAAACUGGAAAACUUGAGUGCAGAAGAGGAAAGUGGAAUUCCAUGUGUAGCGGUUAAAUGCGCAGAGAUAUGGAGGAACACCAGUGGCGAAGGCGACUUUCUGGUCUGUAACUGACGCUGAUGUGCGAAAGCGUGGGGAUCAAACAGG
rnacentral:rRNA from 1 species